AUAACUGAUUGGUAAGUCACAUGGAAACAGCCAACUGGGACUGUAAUGUCAGUAUCAUAGAAGGUUCCAUACUAAAUAUCCUGUUACUUUUGCAAUCGACAGUUGUGAUACAAUAUGUGAGUACUCCUUUUUGUCACCAUCAGAUUUGAGGAACAGGAGCCACAGGCACCACCACCUUCUGAGUGCGGACACCAGAAGACAUGGAGAGGCAAGAGAUGGAUCACAUAGAGAACACUGCUGAUGGCACGUCAGGGCCAAGGUUCUCUCCAGAACACCGCCUGAACAUUGUGUUUGUGGAUGACAACGGUUCUGAAGAGGGUGCAGUGGAUGACGGGGGCCCA